CCUACGGGUGGCAGCAGUAGGGAAUAUUGCUCAAUGGGGGAAACCCUGAAGCAGCAACGCCGCGUGGAGGAUGAAGGUUUUAGGAUUGUAAACUCCUUUUGUUAGAGAAGAUUAUGACGGUAUCUAACGAAUAAGCACCGGCUAACUCCGUGCCAGCAGCCGCGGUAAUACGUAGGGUGCAAGCGUUACUCGGAAUCACUGGGCGUAAAGAGUGCGUAGGCGGGGUAAUAAGUCAGAUGUGAAAUCCUGUAGCUUAACUACAGAACUGCAUUUGAAACUGUUACUCUGGAGUGUGGGAGGGGGAGGUGGAAUUCUUGGUGUAGGGGUAAAAUGCGUAGAGAUCAAGAGGAACAC
rnacentral:rRNA from 1 species